GACGAACGCUGGCGGCGCGCCUAACACAUGCAAGUCGAACGAGCGAGAGAGAGCUUGCUUUCUCGAGCGAGUGGCGAACGGGUGAGUAACGCGUGAGGAACCUGCCUCAAAGAGGGGGACAACAGUUGGAAACGACUGCUAAUACCGCAUAAGCCCACGGCUCGGCAUCGAGCAGAGGGAAAAGGAGCAAUCCGCUUUGAGAUGGCCUCGCGUCCGAUUAGCUAGUUGGUGAGGUAACGGCCCACCAAGGCAACGAUCGGUAGCCGGACUGAGAGGUUGAACGGCCCACAUUGGGACUGAGACACGGCCCACACUCCUACGGGAGGCAGCGGUGGGGAAUAUUGCACAGUGGGGGAAACCCUGAUGCAGCGACGCCGCGUGGAGGAAGAAGGUCUUCGGAUUGUAAACUCCUGUUGUUGAGGAAGAUAAUGACGGUACUCAACAAGGAAGUGACGGCUAACUACGUGCCAGCAGCCGCGGUAAAACGUAGGUCACAAGCGUUGUCCGGAAUUACUGGGUGUAAAGGGAGCGCAGGCGGGAAGACAAGUUGGAAGUGAAAUCUAUGGGCUCAACCCAUAAACUGCUUUCAAAACUGUUUUUCUUGAGUAGUGCAGAGGUAGGCGGAAUUCCCGGUGUAGCGGUGGAAUGCGUAGAUAUCGGGAGGAACACCAGUGGCGAAGGCGGCCUACUGGGCACCAACUGACGCUGAGGCUCGAAAGUGUGGGUAGCAAACAGGAUUAGAUACCCUGGUAGUCCACACCGUAAACGAUGAUUACUAGGUGUUGGAGGAUUGACCCCUUCAGUGCCGCAGUUAACACAAUAAGUAAUCCACCUGGGGAGUACGACCGCAAGGUUGAAACUCAAAGGAAUUGACGGGGGCCCGCACAAGCAGUGGAGUAUGUGGUUUAAUUCGACGCAACGCGAAGAACCUUACCAAGUCUUGACAUCCUGCGACGGUGCUGAAAACAGUAUUUUCCUUCGGGACGCAGAGACAGGUGGUGCAUGGUUGUCGUCAGCUCGUGUCGUGAGAUGUUGGGUUAAGUCCCGCAACGAGCGCAACCCUUACUGUCAGUUACUACGCAAGAGGACUCUGGCAGGACUGCCGUUGACAAAACGGAGGAAGGUGGGGAUGACGUCAAAUCAUCAUGCCCUUUAUGACUUGGGCUACACACGUACUACAAUGGCGUUAAACAAAGAGAAGCAAGACCGCGAGGUGGAGCAAAACUCAGAAACAACGUCCCAGUUCGGACUGCAGGCUGCAACUCGCCUGCACGAAGUCGGAAUUGCUAGUAAUCGUGGAUCAGCAUGCCACGGUGAAUACGUUCCCGGGCCUUGCACA
rnacentral:rRNA from 1 species